GCUGCAUGUGUUUCCCUGCCUGCCUGCUUCUGGCCUGUAGCGCAUGGUGCACUGUGCUGUGAGCCGCCUGGCCUGUUGCCUCGACAACAACACGACAACAAGCACAGCGUGCAUAACUCUGUGUGUGUGUGUGUGUGUGUGUGCGUGUGCGUGUGCGGGUGCGGGUGUGUAUUGCAACAGGGACAAUUCUGAUACUUUUCAACCUGUGCGCUACUAAAAACACCAGGGUCAUUUUCUAAAAAGACAAUGAAGCAGACAAAAAACCUCGCAGAAAUGGAAAAAAAGAUGCAGCGCAACAAGAAAACGUUUAAAUGUGCGUACACGAGGUCCUCAACGACAGCGUUGUAAGUCGAGUUUUAGUGUAAGUGGGAGAUCACACCUAAAUAAACUCAACUAAACCAAGUCAGUCACGCUGCACACACAACACGGACAACACAGCAGCUCCUUCCUGUUCUGCCUGUGGUCGUCUGGCACACUGGAAGGGGGGAACAUGGUACAACACGGUAACACCAAGUGUUGUAACAUGAAACAGCACAACAUGAAACGUUGUAACACGAAGCAUUGUUUUAACAUGAAGCAUUAUGGAAUGUGGUAACAUGAAACGCCAUAACAUGAAGCAGUGUAACAGGAACAUUGUAACACGAAGUGUUGUAACACGGAGCGGCGUAACAUGAACUGUUGUAAAAAUGAAGCAGUGUAACAUGGAAUGGAGUAACAUGAAAGGCUGUAACACGAAACGUUGUAACACGAAACGUUGUAACACAAAGCUUUUUAUUUAAAAACAUAAAGCGGUGUAACAAGACGCACCGUAACAUGGAAUGUUGUAACAUGAAACAUCUUCUACGACACGUUGUAACAUGAAAUGCUGUAACAUGAAAUGUCAAAACCCGAAACGUCGUAAGACUGAACACCGUAACAGAUGUGGCUGUAACACGGACCGCCAGUACGCUAGCAAGAAUACAGUUUGUCAGCCAUCUAGCAGGUGUUGGUGUUGAUGUUACCGUAGCAGCGUCCUGCCCCAUCUAGCAGGUGUUGGUGUUGAUGUUACCGUAGCAGCGUCCUGCUCCAAAGUCUUCCCUUACGGAGGAAGAAAGCACACAAGAGGCAGACUACAAAACAAAAGGCACUUUUGGCCUUUGAGACGAGGUUCUGCUGUGCCAGAGUGUAAAAGAAGCAGUUUUUUGGACAAAGGAAAAUGUUUUUUAAAGUUGUUCCCUCCAAAAAAAAGGCUCGCUCUUAUUAAAUAUGAAAGGCGGGCAAAUUAAGGCCAGGGUGAAAAAUGUUGGAAUUGUUCCUUUUCCACUAAGUUGAUGUGAAAGCUUGCGUGCGUGCAUGAAGAACACAAAACGCCACAACGGCUCUGAUUGUUCUCUUCUCUCUCUCUCAAGCCUUGAUGGCUGCUCUCCUCACACGCCCUUCAUUGUUCAUUGGAUGAGAGAUUCUUUUCCCGCAGGUAGCGGCGUCAGCAGGGACCACGGCCCCCCCGCCCCCUAUAAACCAACCCCACCCAAC